UUGUCUUCCACAAAACUGGUCCCGAGUGCCAAAAAGAUUGAGGAUUGCUAGUGUAAAGCACUGGAAACCAGAAGGAGGUGUAGGGUUCCCUCCCCAGCGUGAAGCUGGCUCUUGGUGCUGCUUCACUGCAAAUGCCAUUUGCCAUUGAUGAUCGUUCUUCUCUUCCUCUGGGAGGAUGCAGUCUGAGUGAU
ensembl:snoRNA U3 Small nucleolar RNA U3